UCCUNUACUCGAAGUCGAACGAACUCUGGUAUUGAUUGGUGCUUGCAUCAUGAUUUACAUCUNAGUGAGCGACGAACUGGUGAGUAACACGUGGGAAACUGCCCACAAGCCGAAAAUAACACCUGAAUCAAAUGCUAAUACCGAAUAAAACUUGAACCGCUNUNNCCAAGAACGAAAUAUAAAUUCNGUUCUCCUCUUUCUUGGCGCAGGGCNNAUCAGAUAUUNUUUUGGUGCCGGCCCCNUGGCCCCUAAUCCUAACCCAACUCACCAUAAAACAACCACUUGGGCACUAAAAACCAGA
rnacentral:rRNA from 1 species